rnacentral:rRNA from 1 species
UACGUAGGUGACUAGCGUUGUCCGGAUUUACUGGGCGUAAAGAGCGCGCAGGCGGUCGUUCAAGUCGAGUGUGAAAGCCCCCGGCUCAACUGGGGAGGGUCACUUGAUACUGAUCGACUCGAAGGCAGGAGAGGGAAGCGGAAUUCCCGGUGUAGUGGUGAAAUGCGUAGAUAUCGGGAGGAACACCAGUGGCGAAGGCGGCUUCCUGGCCUGUUCUUGACGCUGAGGCGCGAAGCUAGGGAGCAAACGGG